GGAAGGCGAGGACAAGGAGAAGGAAGCUUAGGAUGAGGAGGAAGAAAAGCAGCAGGAGCAUCUUUAGGGAUCCCUAUGAUGUCAUUGAGAGGCAGCGGCGAGAGUGGAGACCUCGGCUCAUCCAGCUGGAGAGCCUGACCAGGAGGAGUCGAACAUUAACUGAGCUCUUCCAGGGCACCCUGCAGACUCGGCUGUUGGCAUCGGCGAGGGAUGACGUGAACGCCAAACUGGAGUCCAUCACAGGUCAACUGCAGCUCCUUGUCUCAGAGUGGGAGGGAUUUGAAGCACAAAGGGAGGAACUUGUCAUUUGGUUGGCUGAUAUGGAUGUGAGGUUGACCAGCUGACAGGAAACACCAGUGAAAAACUGAAACAACUGCAGGUGUGGGCUUGUUUUGAUAUGACAUAUACAGGGAGUGCAGAAUUAUUAGGCAAGUUGUAUUUUUGAGGAAUAAUUUUAUUAUUGAACAACAACCAUGUUCUCAAUGAACCCAAAAAACUCAUUAAUAUCAA
ensembl:lncRNA